AAUGGAUUGAUUUAUCAGAAUUCAAUUCAUUCGUCUCCUCUGCCUCUCGACGGAAGAAGACAACUGGAUCUGGCGGGAAAUUAGAGCUCUUCGCAUUGUGCCGACGGUAUCGGAAGUUGUUAGUUUUCUGAAAAGAAAAGAAGAGAAAGGUAAAAAGGCUGCAGAACUAAUGAGAAUGGAGGCAAGUUUCUGUUUACCGACAUUGAUGGCCAUUACCUUCAAUCAUACAAAUGAUAAGUGUGAACUCUAUGAUUGACUUUGAUGCAAACUUUACAUCUGAUCUUGACAUGAUUUGUUUUGAUGGUUCAUCUUCAGUUUAAUCAUUUGAGAGAAUGAAAGAAGUUUGCUUGGUUAUGAGAAUUCCAAAUAAGUGGGUUGAUGCCAAAUAUUACAUUCCUAGAAAGUUGACGUCCAACCAACUCUGGGGUCAUUUAAGAGCUUGACGGUACGGUUCCAACUCCAUUGAUGUAAGAAUCCCUUUUCAUUGUUAUCAUCAGAAGCUUUAUAUGUGUGGAAGAUAAUGCUUUGUUCAUCCUGGGCUUCAGUUUCCACCUUCUUUGUACUUGUUAUGAUUCUUGGUAUUUAGUCUAUAGACCAUCUCCUUUGACAGUUCA